CGGUACCUACGGGACGCAGCAGUGAGGAAUAUUGGUCAAUGGUCGGGAGACUGAACCAGCCACGCCGCGUGAGGGAUGAAGGUACAGAGUAUCGUAAACCUCUUUUGUCAGGGAACAAAGGCGGGGACGCGUCCCCGGAUGAGUGUACCUGAAGAAAAAGCAUCGGCUAACUCCGUGCCAGCAGCCGCGGUAAUACGGAGGGUGCGAGCGUUAUCCGGAUUUAUUGGGUUUAAAGGGUGCGCAGGCGGUCUGUUAAGUCAGCGGUCAAAGCCCGGGGCUCAACCCCGGCCCGCCGUUUAAGCUGG
rnacentral:rRNA from 1 species